AUGCACUAGAUGGGGAAUUAGCGAUGCCCUGUUACCUGCAAUCGCUACAGCAGGAUCGAAUUCCCGAGCGAGGGAUUAAAAGUGUUGGUAUGAACUUAAAAAGUGGUGUUGAGAAGUGGGUCUCACGCAACAGGAACCUGUGAACCUGGUCAGGAUCGGAAGGUAGCAGCCAUAAGCAGUCAUUCCUGUGUGAUGUGAGGGUGCCUAUUUUGAGCUAACUAGUAGGGAUCGCCUCCGCUUUUUCUAACAGACUCGGGUGUGCUU
rfam:Finegoldia magna ATCC 29328 DNA, complete genome.